UACGGGGGGAGCAAGCGUUGUUCGGAUUUACUGGGCGUAAAGGGCGCGUAGGCGGCGCAACAAGUCACUUGUGAAAUCUCCGGGCUUAACUCGGAACGGUCAAGUGAUACUGUCGGACUAGAGUACAGAAGGGGCAACUGGAAUUCUCGGUGUAGCGGUGAAAUGCGUAGAUAUCGAGAGGAACACCUGCGGCGAAGGCGGGUUGCUGGGCUGAUACUGACGCUGAGGCGCGAAAGCCAGGGGAGCGAACGGG
rnacentral:rRNA from 1 species